CCUACGGAGUGCAGCAGUGGGGAAUAUUGGACAAUGGGCGAAAGCCUGAUCCAGCCAUGCCGCGUGUGUGAAGAAGGCCUUCGGGUUGUAAAGCACUUUCAGUGGGGAAGAAAGCCUUGGGGCUAAUACCCUCGAGGAAGGACAUCACCCACAGAAGAAGCACCGGCUAACUCCGUGCCAGCAGCCGCGGUAAUACGGAGGGUGCGAGCGUUAAUCGGAAUUACUGGGCGUAAAGCGCGCGUAGGCGGUCUGAUAAGCCGGUUGUGAAAGCCCCGGGCUCAACCUGGGAACGGCAUCCGGAACUGUCAGGCUAGAGUGCAGGAGAGGAAGGUAGAAUUCCCGGUGUAGCGGUGAAAUGCGUAGAGAUCGGGAGGAAUACCAGUGGCGAAGGCGGCCUUCUGGACUGACACUGACGCUGAGGUGCGAAAGCGUGGGUAGCAAACAGGAUUAGAUACCCUGGUAGUC
rnacentral:rRNA from 1 species